CCGACGGUGCCUGCCCCGCGGCGCCCCCGGAGCCGGGCCCCCCCGCCGACGGCCGCCCCUCGCGCCCGCAGGCCCUGCGCAAGUACUCGCGCCACUACGGCCCCGACGCGCAGCCCCUUGCCGCCUGCACCGUUGUGGCUCCGCCCGGCGCCCAGGCCGCGGCCCCCGUGAGCGCCGGCGCCCUGCCCGCCAGGACCGCGGAGCUGCCCGCCGACCCCUUCGCCCUAGCGCCCUUCCCUGCGAGGUCGGGCCGCCAGAGGCCCUAGGGGCGCUGCGGAGCCCCGACCUCCAGGCUGGCCCCCCGGAACACGCGGGGAGCCCCGACCUCGCUGCUGACCCCCCAGAAGGGAUAGGGUCCCCCGAGCCCCGACCUCCGACCUCGCAGCUGACCCUUACAGCUGACCCCCAAGAAGAGAGGGGGCCCCCUGAGCCCCGACUUUGCAGCUGACUCCCAGGAGACGCGGGGUCCCCUGAGCCUCGACCCUCGCAGCUGACCCCCCAGAGUAGACGGGGUCCCCGAGCCCUGAUCUCGCAGCUGACCCCCAGGAGACACAGGGUCCCCGAGCCGUGACCUCGCAGCUGACCCUGGAACAUGUGGGGAGCCCUAACCUUGCAGCUGACCCCCCAGAAGAGAGAGGGUCCCUGAGCUCCGACCUCGCAGCUGACCCCCAGGAGACGUGGGGUCCCCUGAGCCUCGAACCUUGCAGCUGACCCCCCAGAAGAGACGGGGUCCCUGAGCCCCGGCCUCACAACUGACCCUCGCAGCUGACCCCCCAGAAGAGACGGCGUCCCCGAGCCCCGACCUCACAGCUGACCCUCACAGCUGACCCCCCAGAAGAGGCGGGGCGGCCGAGCAGCCUCCGGUUCCACGCGGCCAGUGACCCCAGUGAUAGUGACACUCAGUGGAACCCCCGUAAGUUAUGCUCAUUUCCCUUGUGGAUGCGGAUUUCGGACCUCCGGGCACCUCGCCUCCUCCUGCGCCCAGAACUCUGCUCUCUCCGCCCCCCAACUGUUGAAGUCCAGGAAAGCGUCCCCCCCAACCCCAAAGGGGCCAGGCUCCCCCAGGUUCUGGUCCUGCGGGUCCCCGGUGACUGUGGCCCAAGGACUCAAGGUCCACCCUUGAGUGGUGAAGGGGACGUGGCCGGAGGAGGUGCAAGGGGCCCCUGCAAACCCAGGGCCGCGGGUCCUGCCCACACCAGUCGUUCCUGUAAAACCAGCAGCCCCACCGGGAGCCCCGGGAGCGCGUGGCCCUGCGAGCCAGGCUGGCCUCACACAACAUUAGAAAAGAGCACCCUGUGGCGGCUCUAACCCCUGGGCACGUGGUUUCUGCGAUAACGUACCUAGACCCUCAGGCCUGAGCACGCCACCUGCCACCUGCCACCUGCCACCGUGGGAUGCGGCUCGAGACUCGGCUCCAGACGAGAUCGGCUUGUGGGUGCUUGCCCAUUCCUUGCCCCCUUUCUCCGCCGCCCCUUGAGGAAAAAUCUGAGACCCGUAAAUCAGUUGGGAGAAGAGUAAGGAGCCGAGUCCGCGAUCCCUGCAAACGUUCUGAUCCCCCAUCCUCUGGAGACGUCCAGGUAGGCCAGGUGGGCGCCUGGCUUGUGUGUUUGCGAGGUCUUCUAUUCCGGGCGAGAUCUGGCCGCCCGGCUGCUUCCGCAGCCUUCGUUAUUAGUGCCUUAAGGUGAGACUCCGGUGUCUCCACGGGAACAUCUCUGCUGACGAAGUUCAACCUCGUGGGAGGAGCUGCUGCACCGUGUUUCAGCCUGAAAGCUCCCUGUGACUUGUCGUUGACGUCAGCGAUGUCUCCAGUCGCUGCAGGAGUCGGGAGAGUUGCUCACCCAACCUGGUUAAGGAUUCAAGAAUUGGAAAUUCGUCCAAGAAUCAAGCCAGAAUGCCAGACUUGAUCGCAGUUGAUGAGGGGUCAUACUCUUUCAAUCGGUGGCAUCUUAGGGGUAGGACAUGAACAGCAACUUCACAAGACUUUUUCUAGUUCGGCCUCCGCCUAUUUCAAAUGUCCAGGUUAAAAGACAAACUUAAAUAAUCGGCACUGGAUCAGGGCUCGCAGCAAUGGUCUCCCAAGUGAGGUUCCGACCACGACAGUCUUUCCCUCUGGGGAAUGUUAGUUAAAUGUUCCUUCGCAGAGGUUGCUUUUCUCCCGGUGAUUAUUUCUAAUUAUUUUGUGUAACAGGGGAUGCAAAAAUCAUCUCUCCAGUUGGAUAAAUAGUCUGGGCUCAUGCGUAUGGAACUUUGCACCCCACACUCUAACCUUGGUCGUUAUCAUGUAAAGCCCCCCAAGGCAGGCGCUGAGAGGAUAGGAGCAUUCGGGGAGAGUUCUUACCCCAAGACAGAAGCUCUUCAAGGGGAAGGCCAUUCUCACUCACUCCUCCAAAAAUUCAGGGUUGCCUCUGUAACAGCCCUGCAAAAGGUCUUUCCUUCGGUUAUUUAAUUGCUUCUUCCUAAUCAAGUAUCCAUUUUAGCUCUCCAGGUAAAAUCAUAAAAUCGUGGUGAUUUUAA